rnacentral:misc_RNA from 1 species
AACCAUUCUCACCUGCGGCUAGACCUGCGGAGGGAUCAUUACCGAGUGUGAACCCCCCCGUAAAAAAGAGGGGUUACCUCCCGUCCUUUGCUGGGAACCCCUUUCCAACUUGGAAGGAGGUUGUUUUCAGACCCUUCUGCUUCGGUGGGGUAACCCACCGGAACAACCUCAAAAAUAUUCUCAAUUCAAAACCGUUCAGUCCGAGAACUUUUUUGAAAAGCGAAAAAACUUUUAGCAACG